rnacentral:rRNA from 1 species
CCUACGGGGGGCUGCAGUGGGGAAUUUUGGACAAUGGGCGAAAGCCUGAUCCAGCAAUGCCGCGUGCAGGAUGAAGGCCCUCGGGUUGUAAACUGCUUUUGUACGGAACGAAAAGCCUGGGGCUAAUAUCCCCGGGUCAUGACGGUACCGUAAGAAUAAGCACCGGCUAACUACGUGCCAGCAGCCGCGGUAAUACGUAGGGUGCAAGCGUUAGUCGGAAGUACUGGGCGUAAAGUGUACGCAGGCGGUGAAAUCCCCGGGCUCAACCUGGGAACUGCCAUUGUGACUGCAAGGCUAGAGUGCGGCAGAGGGGGAUGGAAUUCCGCGUGUAGCAGUGAAAUGCGUAGAUAUGCGGAGGAACACCGAUGGCGAAGGCAAUCCCCUGGGCCUGCACUGACGCUCAUGCACGAAAGCGUGGGGAGCAAACAGGAUUAGAUACCCGGGUAGUC